rnacentral:tRNA from 1 species
AUCUGAAUAGCUUAAAAUUUAAAGCAUAAUAUUGAAGAUAUUAAGAUAAAUGUAUGUUUUUUAGAUA